GUGAUCCGUUGGAUGUCCUUCGCGCGGGUGCUGUCAUGGCUAAAUAAUAAGCGUUGGAUUCAGGCGUGUUUAGACCGUCGGAUGGCCCCUUCUGAUUGUGGCCGUCCAUUUGCUUAAGGUUGCCUCCUUCACUUCUCACGGCCGUCGCUCGUCUAACACUCCAAACGCCUGCAAGUCCUCCAUGCUCGCUGGGUAGCAAGGUGGAACCCCAUGUGCGGUGACCCCAGCACCUGCAAAUCUUCCAUGGACUCCGAGCAACGAGCUAGAUCCUGCUGUGAGGGUUGCAAGAGCAACAACAUCACUCGCCUUCGCGUGCUUAGCCGUCACCAGCCUCUGGCUUUCCCUUCUUGAUUUCUACACACUCGACAUGAAAUAUGAGGUUUUGAAUUUUUUAUGAACGUUUUAGGUGUUUUUCAUUUGUGCCCAUUUGAUUUCAAGCUGAAUCUUGGAUGGAAAACAUGGUCGUCAAGUAGAGCAACGAAGUUCUAGCUUAAAAGUAAUCUUUUUUUUUCACCUGCAAUUGUCAUGUUUAUGCGUGGAGAACAGGACCCCCUUGAGCGUUGUUGGCCAAUUUUAUGUUCUUUAAAGAUGGGUUGCUCUUCAUAACUCGGGAUAAUCCAUGAUCUUUUGCGUUGUGAUAUACUCUCGAUCACCUUGUUCUACCGGUUCCUGAAUGCUCCUCUUGAAAGCAUCGAGGUUGAUGGAGCAUUAUUAAAAGAAUGUUCUUGCUUAGUGAUUGUGUUGAAAAUUUGGUCUUUUAGGUCAUGAGAAUUUGAGGUUUGAAAUGUGUAUAUGGCGUGAAGUUUAAAUAUAGCUAGGUACAAAGUGUUUAGUUGAAAACACUAACAACUUAAUUGAUUCAUAACUUAAGAAAAACAAUAAAUAAGUAGAGGGACAAGGCAUAAAAUGUGCAUGGCGAUGACAUGUAUUCUUCUCAUCUAUUUACUUUCAUUGACACUGAUAUUUUGUCUAUUGUCUUGGUAGAGGUAUUUACUAUUUAGUUGUUUUAGUGUCCAUCUAUCUAUAGAUAACUAUUUGUAUUUUCAAGUUCUCAUAUUCUUGAAACAUUAUUGCCUAAAGUUCUUCUACCAAACAAAGAGAAAUUUAUUGCUAAAAAUCUGCUUUUUGACGUAAAAGAAAACUUGUAAAACAGGGCUAUUUGGAGACUGGAAAGACCAUCACGAGCCUGUUUUUGAGCAUGUCUCGAUGUAUCAAUGGUAUGGGAUUUCUUGUGAUGAAAUAUCCCGCCUAUCAAGUGUAGAAUUGAGAGGUGUGAUCAAAGAUCAAAAUGACUAUACCUCAAAGCCAAAAAAAUUGGACGUCCAUUGAUGAAGUUUGUCAGAUUAAGAGGAUGGCCUAUUCUGCAACAACUGCAUAUUGAAGAGCAGUUACUUCAGACCUUAUCGAAAAACUGGUGUAUUAUAAAUGAUGGUAUAAGGGAACCUACCAUUGUUAUGGAUAUUUCUGGGUACCUGUCAUCAAAAGGUUCACUGGGGGAGGCACUGUCAUUGUGGACGGCGGGACAAUCUUGGUUACUUUCAUCUGCAACAAGGAUGCUGUCCCUGAAUUGCAGCCAUAUCCUCGACCCAUCAUGUCUUGGAGCAGCCUAAUCUACAAUAGUGUUCCAUGGAACUGGCGAUUUCCACCUCCGUGAGAAUGGUAUUCACUCUCAAAACUUCCAAUAUGCCCAAUUUCUCCUGUAUUGCUAGUCAAAUGGAAUUGUGUCAUGUUCGCCUUUUCAAUUUAUGGACAAUUUGGAUUUUUUACAUAGUACUAUAUAUAUAUAUAUUAUCAUGGACCAUUCAAAAUAGGCUGUGUUCCAA